rnacentral:rRNA from 1 species
UACGUAUGAUGCAAGCGUUGUCCGGAUUUACUGGGCGUAAAGAGCUCGUAGGCGGGGACGCGCGUCUCGGAGGAAAUUCCAGGGCUCAACCCUGUAGCUUUCCGAGAUACGGCGUCUCUUGAGGGCAGAAGAGGAGAACAGAAUUCCCGGUGUAGCGGUGAAAUGCGUAGAUAUUAGGAGGAACACCAGUGGCGAAGGCGACUAUCUGGACAGUAACUGACGCUGAGGCGCGAAAGCGUGGGGAGCAAACAGGAUUAGAUACCCCCGUA